UGGGGAAUAUUGCACAAUGGAGGGAACUCUUAUGCAGCGACGCCGCGUGAGUGAUGAAGGAAUUCGUUUCGUAAAACUCUGUUCUAUGGGAAGAAAAGGACUGUACCAUAGGAGAAAGCUCCGGCUAAAUACGUGCCAGCAGCCGCGGUAAUACGUAUGGAGCGAGCGUUGUCCGGAAUUAUUGGGCGUAAAGGGUGCGCAGGCGGCUUUACAAGUUGGAUGUGAAAUAUUGUGGCUCAACCACAAACGUGCAUCCAAAACUGCAAAGCUUGAGUUAAGGAGAGGUAAGUGGAAUUCCUGGUGUAGCGGUGGAAUGCGUAGAUAUCAGGAGGAAUACCGGUGGCGAAGGCGACUUACUGGACUUAAACUGACGCUCAGGCACGAAAGCGUGGGGAGCAAACAGG
rnacentral:rRNA from 1 species